UCUCGACUCUCAACCUCUUCCCUCAUCACCUUGGUGCCGCCUCCACCCUCACCGCUGAGCUUCCCCUUUUUACUGCUUUCCCCUCGCUCUCAAGGUCACUGCUCACCGCAACAAUCGCGUGCCUGAGAAUCCUGCCCAAGGAGAAUAUCGCGUCGCACCGUCACGCGCCUAACCCAGCUGAAGAGGACGUCAUCGUUGUGUGCCUAACCGAGCCGAUGAGAAUGUCGUCGUAACCACCCUAACCCAGUCCGAGGAUAAUCAUCGCGUCAGAGGAGGGUCAUCUUCGCCGCUUCCAGCAAGAUCGUUCUUCAUCGCGCACCUGACCUAGCUGAGGAGAACGUUAUCGUCGCGCGCCUAAUAAGAGAGAAGGGUCGUGGGGAUGCUGUAUGUAGAAAUAACGUUCGGUAAAGAGAGAUUGGAGAAGAAAGAGAGGCGACGUUGCUGAUGGAGGUUCUGGCAUCGACGAUGUUACAGUUGGCGAAGAAAAAGGUUGAGGCAGGUUUGCAGAGGAUCUGUUAGUUUUUUUAUGGUUGAUGGCUGGUAUGUAUAAGGUAGGGGUAAACAGUUUUAGAUUUGGUUUAAAUUUUGUUUUUGGAUGAGUGAUGGCUGGAUGUAACUUGGUGUUUGAUGUCGCUGGUUGAUUAAUUUGGUAGUAGUUGUGUUUGACUGAAAUGGAUUUAGAAUUGAAUGAAUGAAUCUGAAAAAAGUUUUGUUGGUUUAGGUGUUUUUUGGUGUCCGAUUGAUUUGGUUUGGGUAUGGUUUGUGAACUUAUGACUGAAUGUUGCUGGUGAUAGUGCACAUUUCUAUUAUUUUUUUAGUCUUUUUAACCCCCGUUAUCCGAUGUGAUGACGGGGCGGGGGACGGAUUAUGGGUGGCGGGGGACGGGGGGAUCCUCCUGUCCCAUGGAAAACCGUUACCAUCCCUAAUCACCUGGAGCUCUUGGAGAGCAAACACUGAAAGUGGCUCCUUUGUUUCCUCCAUUUGAUACUGGUUUCAGCAGCCUACGCUUCAUAGAAGCUGUCACUUGUAUAGGGCUGAAAUUAUCAAACACCUUUCCAGGAUCAAAGUGAUUAGUGGAUGAAAAUAGCUCUUUGAAAUAGUUUUCAGCCAUCGAUGUGAUGUCUUCAGGAUCUGACACUAUUCCAUUAUUUCUAAUUAAUCCCCAAAUUCUAUUCGUCAA